rnacentral:lncRNA from 1 species
AGGCUCGACCUCCGCUCACCUGUGACAGGGAUGUGUGACUUGUAGUACACAACAAGUACAAGUGAAGGAGUGAAUUUGGGAGGAGACUCGCCAACCUGUACAUUUACCUAAGGACGCCUGUACAAACCCGUGGAUACAAACAUUAAACCACAGACUUCCGAUAAAGACAUGAAGAAGUAGAAAGAGAGGGAAGCAGCGAAGAGGAGAGGUAAGUCAAGUGACCGUGGAGAAGAGAU